GUAGUCUCGCACAGAUGCAUAUCAAUAAGCGGAGGAAAAGAAACUAACAAGGAUUCCCCUAGUAACGGCGAGUGAAGCGGGAAGAGCUCAAAUUUGAAAUCUUAAAGGGUUUCCCUUUACGAAUUGUAGUUUAAAGAAGUGUUUUCUGUUGAGGUUUUGGUAAAUGUUCUUUGGAAUAGGACAUCAUAGAGGGUGAGAAUCCCGUAUUUGACCUUUACUUUCAACUUUGUGAUACACUUUCAAAGAGUCGGAUUGUUUGGGAAUGCAGUCCAAAAUGGGUGGUAAAUUUCAUCUAAAGCUAAAUAUUGGCGAGAGACCGAUAGCGAGCAAGUACCGUGAGGGAAAGAUGAAAAGAACUUUGAAAAGAGAGUUAAACAGUACGUGAAAUUGUCAAAAGGGAAGCGUUUGACACCAGUGUUGUUUUUCUGAAAAUCAAUUAAAGAACUGUUUAUGCUAAGUUGUUUAGACUUUAUCAGCUAUCCUGCUUAGUUUUGAGCUUUUCUUUAAUGCACUUUUCAGUUAACAAGUCAACAUCAAUUUCUUUUGCUGUAAAAAAGCUUGAGGAAGGUGGCUUGAGAUUCGUCUUAAGUGUUUAUAGCCUCUUGCCUAUGCAGUCGGAGAGAUUGAGGUCUGCAGCGUAGAUCCUUCGGGGCUAAAUGCAUUUGUGCUAAGUUAUAGCAUUUUAUAGACAACUUGUUGACUAUGAUUUGUCUUGUAGCUUACUCGCUUAUGUUAUUUUACCUACGCUUAGGAUGUUGACGCAUGAGAUAUACGC
rnacentral:rRNA from 1 species